rnacentral:rRNA from 1 species
GAGUUUGAUCCUGGCUCAGGAUGAACGCUGGCGGCGUGCUUAACACAUGCAAGUCGAACGGGAAACCUUUUAUUGAAGCUUCGGCAGAUUUAGAUUGUUUCUAGUGGCGGACGGGUGAGUAACGCGUGGGUAACCUGCCUUAUACAGGGGGAUAACAGUCAGAAAUGACUGCUAAUACCGCAUAAGCGCACAGAGCUGCAUGGCUCGGUGUGAAAAACUCCGGUGGUAUAAGAUGGACCCGCGUUGGAUUAGCUAGUUGGUGAGGUAACGGCCCACCAAGGCGACGAUCCAUAGCCGGCCUGAGAGGGUGAACGGCCACAUUGGGACUGAGACACGGCCCAGACUCCUACGGGAGGCAGCAGUGGGGAAUAUUGCACAAUGGGGGAAACCCUGAUGCAGCGACGCCGCGUGAAGGAAGAAGUAUCUCGGUAUGUAAACUUCUAUCAGCAGGGAAGAUAAUGACGGUACCUGACUAAGAAGCCCCGGCUAACUACGUGCCAGCCGCCGCGGUAAUUC